rnacentral:rRNA from 1 species
AUGGCGGCGAUGAGCAUGAAGACGAUGAUGGCGCUAGCGCCGCUCUUGUGCCUGGCCGUGGCCGUGUCGCUGGGCGGCGUGGAGGCGAGGAAGCACCCCGGGAAGGAGACCCUGGGGUACUACGAGCUGCGCAGGGGCGAGUUCUCCAUGGUGGUCACCAACUGGGGCGCCACCAUCCUCUCCGUCAGGCUCCCCGACAAGAACGGGCGCAUCGACGACGUCGUUCUUGGCUACAAGACCAUCGGAGGCUACGUGAAUGACACCACCUACUUCGGCGCGCUGGUGGGGCGGGUGGCGAACCGGAUCGCCGGCGGGCGGUUCACGAUCAAGAACCACCCCUACCACACCUACACGAACGACGGCAACAACACGCUCCACGGCGGCCACCGCGGGUUCAACCAGGUGUUCUGGUCGGUGCGGGAGCGGGCCACCGGCGCCUUCCCCUACAUCACCUUCUACUACCGCAGCGGCGACGGCGAGGAGGGCUUCCCGGGCGCGUUGGACGUGCUCGUCACCUACAAGAUCGACGGCGACUACUCGUACAGCGUCACCAUGUACGCCCGGCCCGUGGACAAGCCGACGCCCGUGAACCUGGCGCAGCACACGUACUGGAACCUGCGCGGGCACGGGCGGGGCACCAUCCUCGACCACUCCGUCCAGAUCUUCGCGUCCGCCGUCACCCCCGUCGGCGGCGACCUCAUCCCUACGGGCGCCGUCACGCCCGUCGCCGGCACGCCCUUCGACUUCCGCGCCCCGACGGCGCCCGGCGCGCGCAUCGCGGAGGUGGAGGGGGGCUACGACAUCAACUACGUCCUGGACGGGCGCGACGCGGACGGGCAGGGGGUGCGCAAGGUGGCGGUGGUGAGCGAGGCCACGUCCGGGCGGGUGAUGGAGCUGUGGGGCGACCAGCCCGGCGUGCAGUUCUACACCGGCAACUUCCUCAAGGGCGACGAGGGCAAGGGCGGCGCCGUGUACGAGAAGCACGGAGGGCUGUGCCUGGAGACGCAGGACUUCCCCGACGCCGUGCACAACCCCAAGUUCCCCACCGAGAUCUACCGCGCGGGCCAGGUGUACAAGCACUACAUGCUCUACAAGUUCUCGAUCGCCGGCAAGUAG